CUAAGUUCCUAUAGUCUUCUUGGACUGAGAUGAAAGAUAGCUGCUUUUUCCCCCCAGGAAACAGGCUGCAAGUUUGCCUAAGCUGAGUCAGAAGAAAAAAGGCAGCAUCUGAAGCAGACGUAGAAACUGCACUGAGAAAAGGAGGAACAAAAUAUAAACUCUAAAUAGAGUUUUAUAAAUCUUAACAGAGGAUAUUGGUUUUGGAAGAGAGUUUAGGUUCAGAAGUUUGGGCAUUGGAGUAUGAGAGCCAAAGCUCCAAUUAGCCAUCCAAAAGGCUUGUGAAAAAAUGCUGAAUGAGCUUUCUGUAGAAAUCUUUUCCUCUCUUAGUCUUGCUUAAAGAAUUUCUUGGGCUGUAGACAAGAAGCUGAAUCAGAAAUACCAAGAUUUAGCCAGUUUGGGCCAGUAUUAUGGAGUAGGAGGAUAGUAUUAUGGAGUGAUAUGGUGUUUUUCAGUACAGAUGAUCAGUUUCUCAAAUCUCUGGUAGUCUUAGGAGUGGUAUGUAAGGGCAUCCCAAAAUAUCUCAUCACUCCAAAAGAGGAAAGGAUGCCAGAGAGACAGCCUGUGGGCCUAGGGCAAGGAAAGCAGGGUGCACUAUCAGCUGGAGGCUGAUGAAAACUCAGACAUCAGCAGUGAGUGGCUAAACCAAAGAGCAAUGUGAGCCAAAAACCAGAAGUCUCUCUCCUGCCCUCACUCCCAGUAGCCUAGCUGUGAUACAGGUUUCCCAGAACUUGAAUUAGCUCUGGGGAGAAUGGUGAAGGGGAAAUCCUGGAAUGUCAGAAAGCACCAGUUUGACAAAAAUUAAGUUCUCUGAUACUAGGUAAAAUGGGCUUAAAGUAGAGUUUAGGUUGAAUAGUAGAAAAGUAAAAUGACAUUUUCUUUUUUUGCAUAUCUAAAUUCUGAGAAAUGUGUACCCACUACAUAAGCAGAAUAAAUAAAUCCAAUGUCAUAUUAGAAACUAAAAUUAGUAAUGAAUGAACAUUAUUCAACUGUAUUGAAUAACUUUGUUUGUAUGGCACUUGAGAGUUGACAAGUGGUUUUGUGUACUUAAUCUUAUUUGGUCCACUCAAUAGCCUGCAAGGUAAGCAAGUCAAAGACCUUUCCUUUACUUGAAAAUAUAGACAGCUAUGAAAUACCAUCCCUGAAUAUUCAUUGAUUCAAUUCAUCCAAGAAAUCAGUGAAAUGCCAUAUACUUACCACCUACUUGACAUUUCAUUUUCCCUGGAGUGCAUUUCCAAGAGGCUGUGAGGGAUAUAGAGCAGGGUCACAAAAGCAUCAUGAGAGGUAGGAAUGUAGUAAGACCAAAGGGUGGCAAUGCCUAUAAACAGAAAUGGGCAUAGAGGUAAUAAGGAUAAAACAAUGAGUUCUUGACAUUUUAUGUCACUGUUGCAGAAAGGAAGGCAAUAUGGUUUGGCUGUGUCCCUACCCAAAAUCUCAUCGUGAAUUGUAACUCGAAUUAUAAUCCCCACGUAUUGGGGGAAGAACCUCAUAGGAGGUGAUUAGAUCAUGGGGGUAGUUCCCCCAUGCUGUUCUCAUGAUUCUCAAGAUAGUGAGUUUUCACAAGAUUUGGUGGUUUUAUAAGAGGUUUUUCCCUGCUUCGCUCUGUACUUCUCCUCCCUGCCAUCGCAUGAAGAAGGACAUAUUUACUUCUCUGUCUGCCAUGGGUUGUAAGUUUCCUGAGGCGUCCCCAGCCAUGCAGAACUGUGAGUCAAUUAAACCUCUUUCCUUUAUAAAUUACCCAGUCUUGGGCAGUUCUUUACAACAGCAUGAGAACGGACUAAUACAGAAGGGAAACUCUAGUGAUAUCCUAGUAUCUGCUGGUGGUGAUUUAGAUGGUGUGGAGAAGCAGCAAAAGGUUCACAGGGGAAUAGUCUUAGUUAUCUGACUGCUGAGCCAGUGGAGGCAUCAGUAACCCUGCCAGGUGGUGAGGAAGACGCUGGACAAGGUAAGAAAGGGGCUUGGAGAAAUAAAACUGGUUUCAGAGACUGGUCCUUGCAUACAAGAUGCAAAGAGGUGUGGUGUUCUUGAGCUUGUCCUGUAUCUGAAUAAGUCCAGACAUGCAGAUCUGCAGUUAUUAUCCAGGGAGCAGGUGAUACCAAAGCAUGGUGGCUGGUCAGUUCCUUCACAGCCAAGACCCAGCCGCUGGCCAGGAUAUGGAGAUUCAUUCAAGCAGCUCAGAGAUGAGAACAGAGUUUCAAUUCCAGCUGCAACUGGAGUCCUGGAGGGAAAUCAAGGUUGUAAUCCUGACUGCGGUCUAGGGCAAAAGAGAGGAGAGCAGAGAAAGAAAUAGUGGAGAUGAAAUCAAUGGCAGCAGGGCCCCUCUCCUGCCACUGUGGGCUGAACUGCUGCUGACCUUCUGACAGGGUCAGGAUGAAUGUGAACUCAAGGGACCUACACUACAGAUGAAGGUCUUCCAUGGUGCCAGUGGUGUAUAGAGAAGACAGAGAUUGAACAUCACAGCACCCAUACAGGGUAGGUUUUGAGCCAGACUGGAAAUCCCAGUCUGACAAAGUACACUAGUCAUCAAUUUGGCACACUGCUGAGAUGUGAAACAGGUAGCUGGAAAACAAUACCUUGACUGGUAGGCCAUUUAUUUAAAGAAAAUAAAAAAUAAUUUUAACCAGAUGGCUAAAUAAUUUUGAUAGUAAUUUGUAAUUUUAACAGGGUUUAGGACAUGGGAAAAUUUUCCUAGAUAAAUAGUAAGAAAUGUUCCAAGCUGGACUCAAGAAUUAAAUGAACAGUAAAAUAAUUCCUGACUACCUCUGUCAUAUAUAGAAGCCCAUUCGACUUAACUGUUCAUCUGACCAGCCUAGUCUUGUAGAAAACUGGCCAGGCCAGUCCCGUAAUUUCUAUUUCUCUCUGAAGUCCUUAUGUCCUGUCAGUCAAUUUUGACAGGAUCCUGAGAGAGGCAUUUAAGAAUACUCAGAUUUUUUUUUUUUUUUUUUUGCUUAUUUUUUGUUGUGGUUCUAUAUUUCUGUUUACUUGAAGAGCUUCCAUUCUCCAUGCACACAGACAAAAAAAGUAUAAAUCCUGGAAUAAUAGGAGCAAGCUCUUAUACACCUAUAACACCUACACUAUCUAGUAGAGUUACUACAUGGCAUUAGAAGCACCCAAUGUACCAUGUAAUUGAUCUUUAAUUUUAUUUAUUCCAUUUUGUUAGAGAAUUUUGAACUAAGAUUUCU
rnacentral:lncRNA from 10 species